UUCCCUGGCGUUGCUUUGUUAUCCUUCCAGUCUUUCUUAUCUUCAUUAUUUUCUAUUCAAUUCGAAGACUAGAAAAAAAUCAUUCCUAUCACGUCUUUUUCCUACUAGUUCCUUCGAGAUCUCUUUAUUUUUUUCCGUUUCCUCUCCUAAAAUCUACUAAGAACACACACUUCACUUCUUGUUUCCCUGGCGUUGCUUUGUUAUCCUUCCAGUCUUUCUUAUCUUCAGUAUUUUCUUAUCCAGUUUCAAGACAAAAAAAAUAACUCCCAUCACUUUGUAUUUAGUCCGACGCAGCCUUGGUUCUUCCUCCAAGCCCUAUCCACAGACACUCGGUAAAUACUACUCGUCUUCAUUAAUUUCUUAUCCACUUUCAAGACAAAAAAAUAACUCCCAUCACUUCACAUUUAACCUGACGCAGCCUUGGUUCUUCUUCCUUCAAGCCCUAUCCACAAACACUCGGCAAAUACUUCGCGUCUUCAUUAUUUUCUUAUCCACUUUCAAGACAAAAAAAUAACUCCCAUCACUUCACAUUUAACCUGACGCAGCCUUGGUUCUUCCUCCUUCAAUCCCUGUUCACAGACACUCGGUAAAUCCCUCGCGUCUUCAUUAUUUGCUUUCCAGUUUGAAGACUAGAAAAAAAUUGACUCCCUUCACGUCUUGUAUAGCUCGACGAGGCCUUGAUUCGGUUCUCCUUCAGUUUCAGUUCGCUUCAAAAGACACUCGGUAAAUCCCUCGCGUCUUCAUUAUUUGCUAUCCAGUUUGAAGACUAGAAAAAGAACUGACUCCCUUCACGUCUUGUAGCUAUAGCUCGACGUCCCCUUCGUUCGGUUCUCCUUCAGUUUCAGUUCCCUUCAAAAGACACUCGAUAAAUACCCCUCGUGGGUUCGUUAGGUUUUUCUUAUCCCCUUUGAGACCAAAAUGCUCAAUCUCAGUGACUGUUUCCUUCACAACCAGAUAGUUAAAAAUAAAAUAAAAAUUCACUUAUAUUUACAGUUACCACUGCUCCGAGUCUCUCUCUUUUAUUGAUUAUCUUAGGUUCUUCAGUCAUUGUGUCCCCUCUAUGACAGCAACAAAAUCACACCUCUUUUAACUGUUUCCUUUACAGCCAAACAGGUAAAAAAUUACUCUCACACAUAUAAGUCACCACCGUUCCGAAUCUCUUAUUGCCUUGCUCUUCCUCUCAUCAGUCAUUGUUUCCCUUUUAAGACUGAAGAAUAAAAUCAACUCACUCUUUUUAACUUGUCGCCGCUUCUAUUCUCUCUAUUUUUUUGUAAACUGACACAACACUUUAAUCUUUUUCUCAGUCGCGUUUCUUUUUCUUUUUAACUAAUGCAGAAUAAAACAAAACCAUUCAACUUUGUAUUUCGUAUAAUAAAUAGUCCCUUCUAAGCACUAGGCAUUUCCCUGUUAUUUAUUUGAGGUUAGUUAAGUUGGUUGCCAAAAAUACAUCGGGCUACGAAAAGACUGAUCAUGUUCCACUAAUAUUACUAAAAAAAAGUUUGUAUGUAAUUACAGUCAUUAACAUAAAAAAUGCUGCACAAUAUAUAUCUUCACUUAAUUUAUUUUUACACUGACGCGCCGUCGUUUAGAAGAUUAGGGGAAGAAGUGAGGCAGAGUGAGGUUAAGUAAGAAGUGAUGAAAAUACUUUAUUGAUCGAUUAACAGAACGAAGAACAAACAACAUGAAGAGAUUAGUGGUAACAAAUAGAAUAAAAUAACGAAAUUCUUGUUUAUGGAGAUUAUGAAAAUAGUGAGACGGCUUUAGGUUAAAUAAGAAGUUUUGAAAAUACUCUGUUGUCCGAUUUGAAAAGACGAAUAACUUGUGAAAUGAUGUGAACUAUUACGGUUCUUCUUAUACAUAUAUUUAAAAUACUAUCGGAAUCUUUAUUGAUGGGAAUCGAGGCGAGAAAAGGGAGGCGGCAUUAGGUGGAGAAAAGGUGGAGUCAGAAUUAGGUGGAGAAAAGGUGGAAUCAGAAUUAGGUGGUGUCAGAAUUAGGUGGAGAAAAGGUGGAGUCAGAAUUAGGUGGAGAAAAGGUGGAGUCAGAAUUAGGUGGAGAAAAGGUGGAGUCAGAAUUAGGUGGAGAAAAGGUGGAGUCAGAAUUAGGUGGAGAAAAGGUGGAGUCAGAAUUAGGUGGAGAAAAGGUGGAGUCAGAAUUAGGUGGAGAAAAGGUGGAGUCAGAAUUAGGUGGAGAAAAGGUGGAGUCAGAAUUAGGUGGAGAAAAGGUGGAGUCAGAAUUAGGUGGAGAAAAAGUGGAGUCAGAAUUAGGUGGAGAAAAUGUGGAGUCAGAAUUAGGUGGAGAAAAUGGGGUGGAAUUAAGGUGAGGAAAGGUGGGCGGAAUUAGGGUGAGGAAAGGGGGGCGGCGUGGGUCAGAUAAAAAAAAAAAACGUGAUGGAAAAACUUUAUUGGACUUCUUUAACUUCCAUAAGCUUCUACAAACUUCCAUAAACAGAGAUUCGGCCGUAAAGUUAAAUCCCUAUUCGCUGUUUCCUUUACGACCAAAAUCAUAAAACCCACGUAACCUGUUUCUAAGUUGGCCUCACUCACUCACUUUCUACCUUCAUCCUCGUAAGUAGAGAUAAUUUUAUUGCUCUUCUUCUAUAGCUCAAGAAUUUCGUUAUUAUAUUUGAUUUCGUGUAAUAAAGUGUUUUAAUCACCUCUUAUUUAACCUAGCUCGGCCUCACUUUUCUUUUUUUUUCCUAUUCUCCUACUGACAAGAUUUCGCUUUUAUAGUUUAUUUGUCAAGAGAAUCCAUCAAUCUGUUUAUAUUAUUAUUUCUUCGUCCUGGUAACUGGGCCGCCAUAGAGUAUUUUCACAACUAAUCUAAUUUAAUCUCCAACGAACAAGGACUUUGUAAUUAUAUUUUAUUCGGUACAAGAAAGGUAAAGCUUGAAAUAAAAGUGGUGGAGUGUUUAUUUUGGUCUUAACUUAACAUCUAUUGAACUAUAAAUAUCAGACACUAUUAACCAUCUAUUAAACUAUGAAUAUCAAACACUUGUAACUAAACAUCUAUAAACUACAAAUAUCAAACACUACGGUAUUAACUAAACAUCUAUUGAACUAUGAAUAUCAAACACAAUUAACCAUCUAUUAAACUAUAAAUAUUAAACACUAUUAAUUAAACAUCUAUAAACUACAAAUAUCAAACACUACGGUAUUAACUAAACAUCUAUAAACUACAAAUACCAAACACUAUUAACGAAACAGGUGGAGUGUAGGUAGGAAUAAUCCCUCACACAAUUACUCCUUAAAUGACGCUCCUCUAAGCAGGUCUGGGCGUGAGAGAGACUUAGGAGUCCUUGUGAGCGCUGACCUCCGUCCUAGGGCUCAAUGCAUUCAGGCUAAAAAUCGGGCCAACAGAGUAUUGGGUUUCAUCUCAAGGAGCGUAAGCAAUAGGAGCACUGAAGUCAUCCUCAAGCUUUACUUAGCACUAGUUAGACCUCAUCUCGAUUAUGCAGUUCAGUUCUGGUCCCCCUACUAUAGAAUGGAUAUCAAGAUGUUAGAAUCUGUACAGAGGAGGAUGACAAAGAUGAUUCAGGGGGUGAGAAACUUGUCUUAUGAAGACAGGCUGAAGCAGUUAAAUCUACACUCUCUAGAAAGGCGAAGGUUGCGAGGAGACUUGAUCGAAGUCUAUAAAUGGAUGAAGGGCUUUAAUAAAGGGGAUGUCAAUAAGAUUUUGAUAGUAAAAGAGCCAGGUAGGACGCGUGGCAAUGGUUUUAAGUUAGACAAAUUCAGAUUCAACAAAGACAUAGGCAAGAAUUGGUUCACUAAUAGAGUGGUGGACGAAUGGAACAGGCUUGGGAGCCAUGUUGUGGGUGCCAAUACCAUAGAUACAUUCAAGAAGAGGUUAGAUAAAGCCAUGGAUGGUGAGGUAAGGUGGGGUUGAGUGUACAGGAGCUGCCUUGUAUAGGCCAACCGGCCUCUUGCAGACUCCUUACGUUCUUAUGUUCUUAAACUACAAAUAUGAAACACUAUUAACUAAACAUCUAUUGAACUAUGAAAACCAAACACUAUUAACUAAACAUCUGUUGAACUAUGAAAACCAAACACUAUUAACUAAACAUCUAUUGAACUAUGAAAACCAAACACUAUUAACUAAACAUCUGUUGAACUAUGAAUAUCAAACACUAUUAACCAUCUAUUAAACUAUAAAUAUUAAACGCCAUUAACUAUUCAACAGCGCUUAAAGAUUCACGGCGCUGUUAACACGUUUCCGCUUCGAUCCUCCCCUGAUUCUUGUAAAGCCUUUGUUGCCGGGAAUCGAUGCUCGUCUUGAAAACCUAAACCCUAAAAAAGCUUCACACCACUUUUACAUGACUGAGUUCCUGUCAAGAGUGAAUCCUUAAAGUUGUUUGUCUUUGUAAACGGUUCAAUAACUUCUUUUGCAUCGCUUUUUUUUUAUAUAUUGAGCCAAAGUCGUCGCCUUUUCUCGCCUUUACGGUGUUAUGAGACACUUUCGGUUCUCACAUCAGCUAUUUCUAAAGGUCAAAGAGAGGAUCAAUCGGGUUCUAAUGAGUGGUCCUGUAUUACACUUCUCUAAGGCAGACGUUCUUUAAGCAAUGAUAAAAAAAAUACUACGUCUCUCAAUUCAUGUCUUAUUUUUUAACCGUUCAACAAAACCUUUUCAUCGUUUUUUUUUUUUUUUUUU